rnacentral:pre_miRNA from 1 species
AGAUUUUUGAAUCCAUGCUGAGAUUUUGUCAAACACCAACCGAUUAGAGCUGAUCAGACUUCCAAGAUAAGUGAAGUU